GGCAGCCCUCCAGUUCUCUGCAGAUUAAACCACGCAGACUUCACUUUAGGAGCAACAAUAAGAUUUAAAACCACAGAAUCUAUUUCAGAGUGACGUGUUCUUCAUCGAUGGACUUGACCUGCCUUUUUUUCUCAGCAAGGAUGAGCUUGGUGAGGUUGCCGAUGGCUUCGUCAUAGUUCUCCAUCUCCAGGUGACACUGGCCCAUGAAGAAGUGAGCUUUGACUGACUGGCUGUCGAGCUCCAGAGCGUGUCUGCAGUCUGCCAGAGCUUUGUCAUACUGCUGCAGCUUCACGUAGCACAGCGCUCGGUUGGUAUAGUAUGCUGGGACAGACGGACUGUGGGUCUGAAAGAGGAGGAAAGAAGAAACACUGAUCUUAUUUUUUCUUUCCAGAUACUGAAUCCAAAUAACUCAAAUCUGCCAAAUACCGACUCAUGAUGUGAUACCAAAGCUAUCCUUUUGUGGCAAUAAAAACUGUUGGAAUGAAUGUAA